CCUACCACUCUCUUGCACGGCCUUGAGUUUAGACCCAAGUUUGUGCUUCUUCCCUCAGUAUGCAGCAAGACAUAUUUGCGCACCACUUUUCAUCAUCAACUCGGCCUAUGAUUCUUGGCAGAUAAACAACAGUUUGGUUCCCAAGGAGGCCGAUCCUUAUAAUGAGUGGAUAAAUUGCAAGACAAAUAUAAAUAAUUGCUCACCUAGUCAACUCCAAACUUUCCAAGAUUUCAGGUUGACAUUUUUGGAGGCACUGAACGAACUAGGACCAAGUAUAUCAAGAGGAUAUUUCAUUUCCUCUUGCCAUUCUCACAAUGGUAUUGAAGCACAAGGCUAUUGGUCCUACAACAACUCUCCAAC